UACGGGGGGGGCAAGCGUUGUUCGGAAUUACUGGGCGUAAAGGGCUCGUAGGCGGCCAACUAAGUCGGACGUGAAAUCCCUCGGCUCAACCGGGGAACUGCGUCCGAGACUGGCUGGCUAGAAUCCGGGAGAGGGACGUGGAAUUCCAGGUGUAGCGGUGAAAUGCGUAGAUAUCUGGAGGAACACCGGUGGCGAAGGCGGCGUCCUGGACCGGAAUUGACGCUGAGGAGCGAAAGCCAGGGGAGCAAACGGG
rnacentral:rRNA from 1 species